UAAGAAAGAAAGGUGGGGCAGGAAAGAAAAAUCAAAUGAGUUCAGGACUUUACCAGUUAUUUUCAAAUAGUCAAGGUACAGAAAGCAAAGAAGCAGUUUUCUUGACAUGAAACCCGCCACCCUACCUCACCCACAUUAUUUGCUGCAUUUCUAUCAGCAAAAUAUUCAGCAAUGUACUCAUUGUGUGUUCCGUUUGUUGCUUAAUUACACAAGGUAUUUUAAAUCCUAGAAAGUGCCAUCCAUACAUUUACAUACAUUUAAAGAAUGCCACCACUGUGCAUGAAUAAUGGACUCAUACCGAAGCCAAGCACUGAGGCAAGACCUGGUGUCAACUCCCUGUUUAACUUCACUUGACCCUGGACUUCCACAAUCAUCAGGUGAAGAAUAUUUUGUUUCAUUACCUGAGUUUGGUGAUUAGCAAGAGUGUCUGAGACACGAAGGCCCUCUUGCCUGUCCAUCAAGUAAAACGUCAGGAACUGCACUUGAGCAAGCCAAUCAAUGACAAGAACAGACCAAGGAAAUAAGGAUCUUUGUUCUUGAGAUUGGCAGAAUUGAGAAACAGCUCAGAGGCUGGGCAUUAGGAUCUGUGAUAUUUGACCACACACCUUCACCUGUGAGAAGGCGCCUACCUGUCUGCAGUUAACCAUCUCCAAAUAAACCAUCUGUCCCCAAAUCAGCCUCCAGGGCAGAUGGCCCUUUAGGACAAGAUGGUCCUCUAUUCUCCAAUCAGAUAGCUCAUGGUAAGAAAGUUCCUUCUCUGCCAUGUUUUUGCCUCUGGAUUGAUUGACUUCUGUCUUUCUGUGAGCUGAGUGGGC
rnacentral:lncRNA from 1 species